GAAAUCAAGGCUGGGUGAGACCU
rnacentral:miRNA from 2 species